GAUGAAGAACGCAGCGAAAUGCGAUAAGUAAUGUCAAUUGCAGAAUUCAGUGAAUCAUCGAAUCUUUGAACGCACAUUGCGCCCCUUGGUAUUCCGAGGGGCAUGCCUGUUCGAGCGUCAUUAUAACCCCUCAAGCUCAGCUUGGUGUUGGGGCCUGCUGCACUGGCAGCCCUUAAAAUCAGUGGCGGCGCCAUCUGGCUCUAAGCGUAGUAAUUCUUCUCGCUAUGGAGUCCUGGUGGAUGCUUGCCAUCAACCCCCAAUUUUUCUAUGGUUGACCUCGGAUCAGGUAGGGAUACCCGCUGAACUUAAGCAUAUCAAUAAGCGGAGGA
rnacentral:misc_RNA from 1 species